rnacentral:rRNA from 1 species
UGGGGAAUAUUGCACAAUGGGGGAAACCCUGAUGCAGCGACGCCGCGUGAGUGAAGAAGUAUCUCGGUAUGUAAAGCUCUAUCAGCAGGAAAGAUAAUGACGGUACCUGACUAAGAAGCCCCGGCUAACUACGUGCCAGCAGCCGCGGUAAUACGUAGGGGGCGAGCGUUAUCCGGAUUUACUGGGUGUAAAGGGAGCGUAGACGGCGUCGCAAGUCUGAAGUGAAAGCCCGUGGCUCAACCGCGGAACCGCUUUGGAAACUGCGUGGCUGGAGUGCUGGAGAGGUAAGCGGAAUUCCUGGUGUAGCGGUGAAAUGCGUAGAUAUCAGGAGGAACACCGGUGGCGAAGGCGGCUUACUGGACAGUGACUGACGUUGAGGCUCGAAAGCGUGGGGAGCGAACAGG